rnacentral:tRNA from 1 species
GAGGGUAUAGCUUAGUGGUAGAGUGCGUGCUUAGCAUGCACAAGGUUCUGGGUUCAGUCCCCAGUACCUCCA